rfam:Stegodyphus mimosarum contig122494, whole genome shotgun sequence.
GACUUCGUGGUGUAGUGGUCAGCACGCUUGACGCGUAACCGAGAGGUCCGUGAUUCGAUUUCCGGCGAAGGCG